rnacentral:lncRNA from 1 species
CUUGUCCUCUAGAAUCCUGUCUUGUUUUCCACAUGUCUUAUGCUUUUCUUCUCUGCUCUGGUCUGUCUUAACCUAGCAGCUAGUGGCCUGCCAAUCACAGGACAUCAGGCCCCAGGAUGCACAGUGCCCAGCAUCUCCUCCAGGUUCAGCUUUGACAUCUUCCUGCAGCGCGUUUACUCCAAUCCCAGGACUUUCAGACCCUUCGAACUGGAUCAUCAUAGUUACCAAGGACAUAGUAAAUCUGAUGUUGAGGUGGACCCUGAAUGUCACAGGAGAGCAGAAGCAUCAGAAGCCGAGAAAAUGAAUCUCGUUUCAAGGCCUUGGAGAAGGCAAUGGAUUUUAUUACCCUGAAGAAGAGAUUUCACCAUUGUGUGAUCCCAUAAGGGCCAUCUGCUUCUCCCAAACACAGUUGGUCUGGAAGAG